rnacentral:rRNA from 1 species
AGAUUGAACGCUGGCGGUAGGCCUAACACAUGCAAGUCGAGCGGCAGCACGGGUACUUGUACCUGGUGGCGAGCGGCGGACGGGUGAGUAAUGCCUAGGAAUCUGCCUGGUAGUGGGGGAUAACGCUCGGAAACGGACGCUAAUACCGCAUACGUCCUACGGGAGAAAGCAGGGGACCUUCGGGCCUUGCGCUAUCAGAUGAGCCUAGGUCGGAUUAGCUAGUUGGUGAGGUAAUGGCUCACCAAGGCGACGAUCCGUAACUGGUCUGAGAGGAUGAUCAGUCACACUGGAACUGAGACACGGUCCAGACUCCUACGGGAGGCAGCAGUGGGAAUAUUGGACAAUGGGCGAAAGCCUGAUCCAGCCAUGCCGCGUGUGUGAAGAAGGUCUUCGGAUUGUAAAGCACUUUAAGUUGGGAGAAGGUUGUAACCUAAUACGUUGCAACUUUGACGUUACCGACAGAAUAAGCACCGGCUAACUUCGUGCCAGCAGCCGACG